AACGAACGCUGGCGGCAGGCUUAACACAUGCAAGUCGAACGCCCCGCAAGGGGAGUGGCAGACGGGUGAGUAACGCGUGGGAACAUACCCUUUCCUGCGGAAUAGCUCCGGGAAACUGGAAUUAAUACCGCAUACGCCCUACGGGGGAAAGAUUUAUCGGGGAAGGAUUGGCCCGCGUUGGAUUAGCGAGUUGGUGGGGUAAAGGCCUACCAAGCCGACGAUCCAUAGCUGGUCUGGGAGGAUGAUCAGCCACAUUGGGACUGAGACACGGCCCAAAGUCCUACGGGAGGCAGCAGUGGCGAAUAUUGGACGAUGGGGGCAAGCCUGAUCCCGCCAUGCCGCGUGAGUGAUGAAGGCCUUAGGGUUGUAAAGCUCUUUCACCGAUGAAGAUAAUGACGGUAGUCGGAGAAGAAGCCCCGGAUAACUUCGUGCCAGCCGCCGCGGUAAUAC
rnacentral:rRNA from 1 species